rnacentral:lncRNA from 1 species
CUCUUCUCUCUCUCUGUCCUGCUCUGCCAUGGUAGAUGUGCUUGCUUUCCCUUUGCCUUCUGCCAUGAUUGUAAGUUUCCUAAGGUUUUCCAGCCAUGCUUCCUGUACAGCCUGCAGAACUGCUCUUUCCUUUAUAAAAUACCCAGUCUCAGGCCUGUUAUUUGAUGAAGAUGAUAUAAAUAGAAGCAGAGCAGCACAUAGUGUGACCACGAAAGGCCAAAGAGCACAUACUGGAGACCUGAAUGUCAACCAAACUGCAUAAUCCCUGUUUAUCUUCAUUGUAGAAAUUGCCAUAACC